rfam:Capsicum annuum cultivar Zunla-1 chromosome 10, whole genome shotgun sequence
GACCACGUGAUUAGGGAAUUGAUUAAUUUAUCAUUCAAUCAUUGCCAUACUUCAUACAAAGGUUCACCAUUGAGUUGGCAGAACUUUAUUAUUCAAUCUCUAGGUU